CCAGAGAACUUUCCAGAGAUGGAUUGGUGCCUUCGGGAACUCUGAGACAGGUGCUGCAUGGCUGUCGUCAGCUCGUGUUGUGAAAUGUUGGGUUAAGUCCCGCAACGAGCGCAACCCUUAUCCUUUGUUGCCAGCGGUCCGGCCGGGAACUCAAAGGAGACUGCCAGUGAUAAACUGGAGGAAGGUGGGGAUGACGUCAAGUCAUCAUGGCCCUUACGAGUAGGGCUACACACGUGCUACAAUGGCGCAUACAAAGAGAAGCGACCUCGCGAGAGCAAGCGGACCUCAUAAAGUGCGUCGUAGUCCGGAUUGGAGUCUGCAACUCGACUCCAUGAAGUCGGAAUCGCUAGUAAUCGUGGAUCAGAAUGCCACGGUGAAUACGUUCCCGGGCCUUGUACACACCGCCCGUCACACCAUGGGAGUGGGUUGCAAAAGAAGUAGGUAGCUUAACCUUCGGGAGGGCGCUUACCACUUUGUGAUUCAUGACUGGGGUGAAGUCGUAACAAGGUAGGCGUAGAUGA
rnacentral:rRNA from 1 species